GCUGUCGUUCCUGUUGUGCCUCUACACUGCGGAAGUGGUCGUGGCAGCUUCUAAAUGCGCGCAAGAUGGCAAAUCUUCUUGCAUUUGUUCCGAAGCAGGAGGCGGAAUUGUCAAUUUGACUUUGCUCGCACAACCUGACGCAAAAGGGUCUGCGGGGCUUGUGACGCCUGGAUCUACUACGAAGUACUACUACAACCCGUGUACUCCCUUUACCUUGUAUGGUUCAAAGAAAACGAACGUUUGUACUCCAGAUCAAGACGUUGCCGUUUGCCAAUUACAAGACGACAUUGCUUAUAAUGCUGGAACAGAAAGCACUGCUGUGUUUUCUGGUAGUUCAGAGGUAAGUGUAUAUAUCCAGUAGCAACUCCAAUACAGUACAGUACAACUCCGAUUAUUCAGAGUUUUUUGACGGAUGACAAAUUGUCCAGAUAAAUGAAAUAAU